UCUUUCAAACGAUGAUCCAUUAAGUGGUAAUUUUUUCCUCUUAAAAUUCACGUGCUCUUUAAUCUUCAGUUUAAUUUUUAUUCUCUUCGAACCUUUGGCACCGUCCAAGCUGUCUCCGCUUAACCUUCUACGUACGGUUAACCUCGAGAUGGAUGCGCUCGUUGUGAGACGCCCAACUUCCCCUCACCGUAUGGACGUCGUACCGGCCGAGGAGACUCCUGCGGCUGAGGUGCGGACAUUGUUCGUGAGUGGUCUGCCCAUGGAUGCCAAGCCCAGGGAGCUCUACCUUCUCUUCAGAGCCUACGAGGGCUACGAGAGCUCGCUCCUCAAAGUAACCAGCAAGAACGGCAAGACGGCUUCUCCCGUGGGAUUUGUGACCUUCAGCACCCGCGCUGGCGCUGAAGCUGCAAAACAAGAUCUCCAGCAAGGAGUGAGGUUCGAUCCAGACAUGCCGCAGACCAUCCGUCUUGAGUUUGCAAAGAGCAACACUAAAGUGAGCAAGCCGAAGCAACAGCUUCCUCCAGCCGCUGCCCCGCACCCAACUAUGAUGCACCCAUUUCCUGGACUUGGAUUUCUUCGAGCAGUGGAACUUAACCCGGCAUUUUUUCCGGGUGCACCCGACGUUUGGCCACCGCACCCUUUUGCGUACACACCCGCGGACUUACCGGGUGCCGCGGGUUUGCAACAUCACCACGCCUUGUUCCCAGCUCUGCAGGCUGCACAUCACGCAGCUGCGGCACAAGUGCCUACGUCGCUGGGUUUGCCUACGACGGCUACCGACUACACCAUGCCACCGAUGAGCUCAUCGUCCUCGGCAUCCGACUUCACCAAGACGUCGCAUGUGCUUACAACAAUGACUGCUGAAUUUCCUAAACAAUCAAUGGGAAUACACGGUCCGUCUCCCGACUUUAUGAUGACAUCCACUGGGUCUCCGACUCCUCCUUGUGAUUUCCCGAAGACAUUUUCCCUUGGUUUGGCGCGUUCGUAUCCGGAAUUUGCAAUGACGUCGUUGGGUUUGAUUUCAACAGCCCCAUAUGCAGCUAGCGCACGGUCAGCUUGUGUCGCACGCCGCCCAAGCCAUCAUGCCAUCCACAGCCUUGGGUACGCCGGCAGGAUCGCCGGCUUCAGGUCACCAAGCGCCCUCGCAUCAUCACCACCAUCAUCAUCAAGCCGUCCCAAGCCAGCCGUGCUCUACGCUCUUCAUAGCCAACCUCGGGCCCAGCGUGGCAGAACAUGACCUCAAGGACAUCUUCUCACGGAGAUAAAUGUAUUCUGGCAUCGCAAGGGCUCAGCUAAAUCCCAGGGACACGAGAAUUAAGUUGAUCGAGCAGCGCCCCGGCCCGCACAUCGAGCGCAUUGCAAC
rnacentral:misc_RNA from 1 species